rnacentral:piRNA from 1 species
UGAAAAGGACCUGGUCACUUCCGGUAGUGG